UCUGAAUAGGGAAUAUAUAUUUUACAAAGGCGGGCAGAUUUGUGGCUAUGGCCAGCAACGGAAUUGCUAGACACUCAAUGGGGCUAUAUAGUGCAACGCUUUGGACUAUAAAUUAGGUAAGAAUAGUUGAAUCGUAAGAAGUUGUGAUUGUUUUUCUGAUUAUUGAUUUUUGGUUAAGGUAACACCAGUGAAUUUGAACAAAAAGUAACGUAUUCUAAAAAUGAUCUGAUUUCCGUUCUCGUUGCGGGGAACAAAUGAAAAGUCUUAUCUUAAAGGGACAGUGCAUGGUAAUCACAGUGGUUUGAGUGUAUGACAGUGGAAAAAAUAUUGUGGGACGACAAUUCGAAGAGAGAAAAAUAAGUUACAUGAUACAUCAAGAGAUUUAAAACGAACGACGUGAAGGGAUCAUAAGAAUUAUUGGGUGUCAUUGUAGGAGUAAAUGUUUGGGUUAAGGUGAUUUCCCUGUUCCCAGAGACAAGGCAUUUUUAAGGCGAGCACUCACUAAUGCUGGUCUGAAUUUGUAAUUAGACAAGUGAAUAACGUAUUGGGAAUAGAGUUGUAAUUAAAAUACUAAGUCAAAGACGAGACAGGUAUUUAGAGCAAAAUGGAUUCUAAAUGAUAACAAAGAGACAAUUAUGGUUUAUGCCCAUCGCUUUUAUAAAAUUGGCGAAUUUAGAGAUGUUGGUUGGGGUGGUAAAUUAUAAUUCAGGAUUAGAACAGAUGUGAUAAAUUAGGUUUGGUUAAUCGAACAAGAAUUAUUUACAAUCCAUUUGAAGUCGCUACGAAUUGGCAGGUUGAGCGCUUGAUGAUGACGUCACUAGCGAGACACUUUUGUCACCAGAGACUGGGAAUAACGGAGCAAACUGUAUGGCUGUUAGUGUGUGUAUCGAGGCUUCGAGUAACCUUUCAGAAGUUGAGAUAAAAGUGUUUUGUUUAUUUGUUUAUUGGUUAUAGUCAAUUUUAGGGUUUGAUUUAACUUAGUUGAACAGUGUGUUCUGGCGGGUUUUAGAUAGAACUCUUUGUUCCGGAACGGAUGAAAGUUACCCAUAAGUAAGUAAAUUAAAGGAGCCAUGAGGGAAUGCGAAUGCAUAUUUAUUAAAUAUCGGGGAUUAAAUUACGGAUUCCUUACACUGCGAAAUGUACGACAUUUGCGGCAGAGAGAAAAAGUAAUGCAUUGAAUAAUAAUGUUAUCGGGUUAAUUGUAUCUAAAGGUAGCAUGGUCAUUUAAGUAAACAUAUCCGUAGACGAUGUUUAAAACUUAUGAUUAUUGAUUUGAGUCAAAGGGGAAUUAUCAUUAGGUUUUAGAGGCACGCUCACACAGGUGACUAUUUUUAUUGUAAGGAUAAAGGGAUCUUUAUGUCUAAUAUGGUAUGGCCUUUUGACCUUAUCAUGACUGGCUUCUGAGGUCUGAUCAGCCUCAGGGGAGAAUCAUUUGUAUAAUGAAUGGAAUCAUAUUAAGUUACUAGUUUUAAGGUCAAUUCAUUAGAAAUGAAGCAGUUUUGGUUGAGGGUUUAGAAUUACUGUUUGAACCGCAAAUGAGAAAGUGGUUCAGGAUUCUGUCUUAUAACAUUAGCUGUGAAGUUUUUUGAAUGGGCUAUUAGGGAGUUGGUACGGAGACUGGUUUUGAUGGUAGGGACAAAUUGUGUGGUGGUAUGGUGGUUACUGGAUUUCUGACCCUAAUUCUUGUAUUAUUUGUUAUUGAUGUGAUGUGCUGCUUGCAUCAUACCGUGUUUUAAGAAGUCUGUUACAGAUGUGGUGAAGGCUUCAGGCAUGAUGCCUUUGCUUGAUGCUCCAGUUGGAGAGGCUGAGGUGAAGCAUGCUUUGAGGGGAGGAUAAGACUGACUGAGGAUGACCCAUGUAUGUUUGUUCUCCCUGUCGUGAAGGGUGGCAUGGUGCCCACCUGGUGCUGGAUAAGAAUAGCUGAGAGGACCAGAUGGGUUAUAAGAAUGCUUUGUUCUGCUUUACUCUGUUUUACAGGACCAAAGUUUUAUUCCACACUUUGCAACACAUUAAAUCCAUGUUAUUGUCAGAUAGAAUACUGAGGGUCCCUAAGGAGAGGGCUUGUUAGUGUAGGAAGGAUUUUUAAUAUGGUUAGCAUUUAUUAGAUUAUAAGUUUUUAAAUAGUAUUAUAUUUAACAGGAAUAUAGGACAUCUAUGAGGAGUUAGGAUUAUUGUUAGGAUUAAGAUAGAUUGAUUAAGGAAUUUGGAGAAAAGCCGCUCAUAGACAUGUUUUUUUUCUAAAAGAGGGUCCAUGGGUUUGGAUGGAGCCAAACAGUGAGACAUGUAGUUCAAAUUUGGAAAACAUGAGAAACAUAGCUUUAGGCAGACAGAGGAGCCCUCCCCCGCACUGCAGAGACCUUGAAGGUUAGAGAGCAGAGAAGUUUUAGAAGGGGGGCCAGGACGAGCAAAGAUAACAUAGUGGGUAGAUAAGUUACUGAGUGGAGACAAAAGUGAGAAUUGGACAUGUGGAAAAUGAAAGGGACACUCCUAAAUGGAAUUUCGGACAUAAGGAUAAUUCACUAAAUCUUAUCUAAGUCAUUGUAUAAGAAUAAGGCAAGGUUGUUACCUGGGCAGAGCCAGGUAACAAAAGGGGGAUGGGUAAAUAGUGUUCUAGAAUAGGAUGUGACCUACGGGAUAAUAAAAAAAUAAAAAAAAUAAUUGUUAAUUGGUUUGACGAAUAAGAAACUGUUUUAUUAACCAAACCUGUAUGUCCAAGAGUUUAUGCACUACAGGUGAACUACAGGUGAAGACACUCAAUCCAGUCCCGUGGGCCACCCGGAUUCAUAUCGCACUGCGGGGGGGACUCUGGAGAGAUCAAUGACACUACAGAUGGUGCGUUAUGGGCUGGUUCCAGGUUCUGACCCAUGGAGGACUGAAGGCAUGUCUACAGAGGAAGUGGACGAAUCUGGAUCUGUCAUUUGUGGGGAAUUUAUGUUUGAUGAGAAUAGUGUUGAGAUGAAGGGGAAUUAGAUUGUAAUUUGUUUCAAUGAUUAAACAGUUUUUUAAUAAAGACUGUAAAAAGAAAAAAAAAGAAAAAAUCCUGAAAGAGGAGUUAUGAUUCUGAUGUAGGUUUAAAAACAGUUGGAGUUAAGGUUAGAUUUGAUUAAUGAUGGGUGAAGAGUCGGGUAAACAUUUAUAAUAAUAUUUUUAUUUUGUAGAUUUGAAUGUAUAAUAUUUGAUCAAAGGGAGGAUUGAUAGAGGAAAAUAUGGUUGAAAUGACUAAUUAUGUAUACAUUCCAAUCUGAAACUGACUAGUCCAAAUGCUAUAAUGUACUGUACAUGUGAGUUUUCCCUCUUGCUCCCUUUCCCAAUUGUAUAUAAUGUAGUCAGGAGUUAGUAACAAUGUAGGUCUGUUCCUUAGUUCAUUCAGUUGUACAAAUCUCCAGGUGGUGGGAACGGGCCAUCUCCAAAUGGUCGGGAAGGUUGAUUUAUGCUGACUGGCCUUGACUUCGUGCUGAUAACGCGGAGGCUUGAGAGCUAGAGGGGCCCUCUGUUUGUGAAACGGAACGUUUGGAAAACGCUGACGUCAUUUUCAGUUUAUAACCUGUGGAAAUGUGUGUAAGCAUUCAGUACUCUCUGGAAUUAAACGCUCUUACCUGGCUUUUAA